rnacentral:rRNA from 1 species
UGGGGAAUUUUGGACAAUGGGCGAAAGCCUGAUCCAGCAAUGCCGCGUGUGUGAAGAAGGCCUUCGGGUUGUAAAGCACUUUUGUCCGGAAAGAAAUCCUUGGCUCUAAUACAGUCGGGGGAUGACGGUACCGGAAGAAUAAGCACCGGCUAACUACGUGCCAGCAGCCGCGGUAAUACGUAGGGUGCAAGUGUUAAUCGGAAUUACUGGGCGUAAAGCGUGCGCAGGCGGUUUGCUAAGACCGAUGUGAAAUCCCCGGGCUCAACCUGGGAACUGCAUUGGUGACUGGCAGGCUAGAGUAUGGCAGAGGGGGGUAGAAUUCCACGUGUAGCAGUGAAAUGCGUAGAGAUGUGGAGGAAUACCGAUGGCGAAGGCAGCCCCCUGGGCCAAUACUGACGCUCAUGCACGAAAGCGUGGGGAGCAAACAGGAUUAGAUACCCUGGUAGUCCACGCCCUAAACGAUGCAACUAGUUGUUGGGGAUUCAUUUCCUUAGUAACGUAGCUAACGCGUGAAGUUGACCGCCUGGGGAGUACGGUCGCAAUGAUUAAAACUCAAAGGAAUUGACGGGGUCAUAGCUG